rnacentral:rRNA from 1 species
GUAGUCUGCAACCCGACUACACGAAGCCGGAAUCGCUAGUAAUCGCGGAUCAGAAUGCCGCGGUGAAUACGUUCCCGGGUCUUGUACACACCGCCCGUCACACCAUGGGAGUCGGAAAUGCCCGAAGUCAGUGACCCAACCGGAAGGAAGGAGCUGCCGAAGGUGGAGCCGGUAACUGGGGUGAAGUCGUAACAAGGUACC